UGAGGAAUAUUGGUCAAUGGGGGCAACCCUGAACCAGCCAAGUCGCGUGAAGGAUGAAGGUCUUAUGGAUUGUAAACUUCUUUUACACGGGAAUAAAGUGGGGGACGUGUCCCCCUUUGCAUGUACCGUGUGAAUAAGGAUCGGCUAACUCCGUGCCAGCAGCCGCGGUAAUACGGAGGAUCCGAGCGUUAUCCGGAUUUAUUGGGGUUAAAGGGUGCGCAGGCGGGAUGUUAAGUCGGCGGUGAAAUUUUGCAGCUCAACUGUAAAAGUGCACUCGAUACUGUCCUGCUUGAGUGUGGAUGAAGUAGGCCUAAUUUGUGGUGGAGCGGUCAAAUGGUUAGAUCUCACGAGUGACUCCGAUUGCGUCGGCAGCUUACUAAGCCACAACUGACGCUCAUGCACGAAGGAGUGGGGAUCAAACA
rnacentral:rRNA from 1 species